UACAGAGGGUGCGAGCGUUAAUCGGAAUUACUGGGCGUAAAGCGUGCGUAGACGGUUAUGUAAGUCAGGUGUGAAAAGCCCCGGGCUCAACCCGGGAAGUGCAUUCGAAACUGCGAGGCUAGAGUAUCGGAGAGGUUGGUGGGAAUUCUCGGUGUAGAGGUGAAAUUCGUAGAUAUCGAGAGGAACACCGGUGGCGAAGGCGGCGAUCUGGACGGUGACUGACGCUGAGACGCGAAAGCGUGGGGAGCAAACAGG
rnacentral:rRNA from 1 species